GAUGAAGAACGUAGCGAAAUGCGAUAAGUAAUGUGAAUUGCAGAGUUUUGUGAAUCAUCGAAUCUUUGAACGCACAUUGCGCCCCCCGGCAUUCCGGGGGGCAUGCCUGUUCGAGCGUCUCCAGGACGAAUCCUCGCGCGAGUGAACGCGCGGUCGUGGCGGAGGUGGCGUGCCCGAGCAGGGCGGCCACCGCGCUGGAAUCCAUGGGCGGACGCCUGCCGCGUGGCCGAGCGUGAUAUGACGCAUUGGCGCUCGUGCGCGGCGAGGCUGCCAGCCCUGGCCCGUCUGUCGGGCGGGGUAGAUCACCACGUGGGAACUCCUCGAAUCAGGUAGGGAUACCCGCUGAACUUAAGCAUAUCAAUAAGCGGAGGA
rnacentral:misc_RNA from 1 species